UAUUAAAAAUUCUAUCUAUUUUUACUGUUAAGUGCUGAUGUAGUUGAUGGAACAACCAAAUAGUGACACUUGGAGUGUCAUCUCUGUACCAUGUGCUAACAUGGAGGGACUAAUUCAGGUAACCAGACAGUAAUACGCCAUCUUAACAAUAUAAAUCAAUGGAAUUUUUAAUA
rfam:Gossypium arboreum cultivar AKA8401 contig_3882_9, whole genome shotgun sequence.